CCUACGGGAGGCAGCAGUGAGGAAUAUUGGUCAAUGGACGAGAGUCUGAACCAGCCAAGUAGCGUGAAGGAUGACUGCCCUAUGGGUUGUAAACUUCUUUUAUAUGGGAAUAAAAUGUUCCACGUGUGGGAUUUUGUAUGUACCAUAUGAAUAAGGAUCGGCUAACUCCGGGCCAGCAGCCGCGGUAAUACGGAGGAUCCGAGCGUUAUCCGGAUUUAUUGGGUUUAAAGGGAGCGUAGGUGGAUGGUUAAGUCAGUUGUGAAAGUUUGCGGUUCAACCGGAAAAUUGCAGUUGAAACUGGCAGGCUUGAGUACAGUAGAGGUGGGCGGAAUGCGUGGUGUAGCGGUGAAAUGCUUAGAUAUCACGAAGAACUCCGAUUGCGAAGGCAGCUCACUGGACUGCAACUGACACUGAGGCUCGAAAGUGUGGGUAUCAAACAGGAUUAGAUACCCGGGUAGUC
rnacentral:rRNA from 1 species